GAUGAACGCUGGCGGCGUGCCUAAUACAUGCAAGUCGAGCGAACGGACGAGAAGCUUGCUUCUCUGAUGUUAGCGGCGGACGGGUGAGUAACACGUGGAUAACCUACCUAUAAGGCUGGGAUAACUUCGGGAAACCGGAGCUAAUACCGGAUAAUAUUUUGAACCGCAUGGUUCAAAAGUGAUAGACGGUCUUGCUGUCACUUAUAGAUGGAUCCGCGCUGCAUUAGCUAGUUGGUAAGGUAACGGCUUACCAAGGCAACGAUGCAUAGCCGACCUGAGAGGGUGAUCGGCCGCACUGGAACUGAGACACGGUCCAGACUCCUACGGGAGGCAGCAGUAGGGAAUCUUCCGCAAUGGGCGAAAGCCUGACGGAGCAACGCCGCGUGAGUGAUGAAGGUCUUCGGAUCGUAAAACUCUGUUAUUAGGGAAGAACAUAUGUGUAAGUAACUGUGCACAUCUUGACGGUACCUAAUCAGAAAGCCACGGCUAACUACGUG
rnacentral:rRNA from 1 species